AAAUAGAACUUUGCAGAGAGAGUUAAGAGGGCGUGAAACCGUUAAUUGGCAAACGAAUCGGAGCCACGAAGUCGUUUCGUUAUUGAGCCUUGGGUUGAGUUCAGCUGGAAUUGUUAACGCAGUUCUGGUGUAUUCUUUUACCUGGCCAAAAUUGUAAGCGUACACUGCAACCAGUUAGACGAUUGGUGAUGGGCACAGUUGUUCAAUGGGGCCUUGUUGCAAGACUUGAUCACAUUGGAUGGCGAAGCAUUUGUUUGCUCAAGUUAGUAGUAGCGCCGUUGGCUUUCGGGCCUCCUGGUGUUGUUGGACUUGUGGCAAGUGAACUAUGAACCAAAUACUGACUGGCAAAAUGAAAAUCGUCAACAAUUUGACGUAGCAUAAAAAGCAACCUGUUGCAUUGAAGUCUACACUUGACGACCAUUUGGUCUUUAAGCUUGGUAUUUUUGAAUUUAGACUUGCUUGCUACCAUUGGGGCAACUCGUGGUGCUUGUAUAGCUCUAUCUAAUCGGGUGCCGACUUGGCCAGGCGUAGUUUGUUGGUGAAACGUUCGGGCUUUAAUGCAAGCGGGCUCGCAAUUUAAAUUGGCAGUGAGUAGGUCGGCUUUCCGAACGACCCGUCUUGAAACACGGACCAAGGAGUCUAAUUAGGCAUCGAGUCGAUCGGUCUUGAUAGGCCAGAAUGAGGAGAGUUUCUCUUCUCUCCGAAUGAAGGCGUAGAGAAAUCAAAUCAUGUGAUCGUUUGUGACUACACAAGUUUGAACGCGCAACAUGUGCCUGUUCUCAAGGAAAUGUUAGCAAUAACUUUCCGAGCGGAGCAAAGAGAUGCCUGAUUGGUACCCGAAAGAUGGUGAACUAUGCCUGGGCAAAUUGAAGCCAGAGGAAACUCUGGUGGAGGAUUGUAGCGAUUCUGACGUGCAAAUCGAUCGUCAGACCUGGGUAUAGGGGCGAAAGACUAAUCGAACCAUC
rnacentral:rRNA from 1 species